rnacentral:rRNA from 1 species
AUUGAACGCUGGCGGCAUGCCUUACACAUGCAAGUCGAACGGCAGCACGGGAGCAAUCCUGGUGGCGAGUGGCGAACGGGUGAGUAAUAUAUCGGAACGUGCCCAGUAGUGGGGGAUAGCCCGGCGAAAGCCGGAUUAAUACCGCAUACGACCUGAGGGUGAAAGCGGGGGAUCGCAAGACCUCGCGCUAUUGGAGCGGCCGAUAUCAGAUUAGCUAGUUGGUGGGGUAAAGGCCUACCAAGGCUACGAUCUGUAGUUGGUCUGAGAGGACGACCAGCCACACUGGGACUGAGACACGGCCCAGACUCCUACGGGAGGCAGCAGUGGGGAAUUUUGGACAAUGGGCGCAAGCCUGAUCCAGCAAUGCCGCGUGCAGGAAGAAGGCCUCGGUUGUAACUAGCUUUGUCUAGGAAGGAAAGUACUUCUGGGCGUAAUACCCGGACGGAGUGACGGUACCGUGAAGAAUAAGACACCGGCUAACUACGUAGCCA